CGUAAUGGCGGCCCUGCGUGGGCAGACCUCGGUCUGGCCGGAUUUCCCAUGUUUACCGGUUUCUCACCCCACGCAUGGCUGCCACCCAA
rnacentral:antisense_RNA from 17 species